GACAGAGGAUGCAAACGUUGCUCGGAUUUACUGGGCGUAAAGCGCGUGUAGGCGGUCUCGUAAGUCGAAUGUGAAAGCCCCGGGCUCAACCCGGGAAGUGCAUCCGAUACUGCGAGACUGGGGUACUGGAGAGGAAAGCGGAAUUCUCGGUGUAGAGGUGAAAUUCGUAGAUAUCGGGAGGAACACCAGUGGCGAAGGCGGCUUUCUGGACAGAUACCGACGCUGAGACGCGAAAGCGUGGGGAGCAAACAGG
rnacentral:rRNA from 1 species